rnacentral:rRNA from 1 species
UACGGGGGGGGCAAGCGUUGUUCGGAAUUACUGGGCGUAAAGGGCUCGUAGGCGGCCAACUAAGUCGGACGUGAAAUCCCCAGGCUCAACCUGGGAACUGCGUCCGAUACUGGAUGGCUUGAAUCCGGGAGAGGGAUGCAGAAUUCCAGGUGUAGCGGUGAAAUGCGUAGAUAUCUGGAGGAAUACCAAUAGCGAAGGCAGCUCGCUGGGACGUUACUGACACUGAGGCGCGAAAGCGUGGGGAGCGAACAGG